CCUACGGGAGGCAGCAGUGAGGAAUAUUGGUCAAUGGGCGCGAGCCUGAACCAGCCAAGUAGCGUGAAGGAUGACUGCCCUACGGGUUGUAAACUUCUUUUAUAAAGGAAUAAAGUGAGGCACGUGUGCCUUUUUGUCUGUACUUUAUGAAUAAGGAUCGGCUAACUCCGUGCCAGCAGCCGAGGUAAGACGGAGGAUCCGAGCGUUAACCGGAUUUAUGGGGUUUAAAGGGAGCGGAGAUGGGUUGUUAAGUCAGUUGUGAAAGUGUGGGGCUCAACCGUAAGAUUGCAAUUGAUACUGGCAGCCUUGAGUACAGUUGAGGUAAGCGGAAUUCGUGGUGUAGCGGUGAAAUGCUUAGAUAUCACGAAGAACUCCGAUGGCGAAGGCAGCUUACUAGACUGCCACUGACAUUGAUGCUCGAAAGUGUGGGUAUCAAACAGGAUUAGAUACCCGUGUAGUC
rnacentral:rRNA from 1 species